CCUUUAACCUGGAGGACUAUGAUCCACCCACCCUCCGGAUGAGAGAGGCAAAGGAAGUCAGUCUCCUGAGAGUGAAAAAGUGAAGCAGAUGUCAUAGCAGGUUUGUGGGCAUUUCUGUGGAUAUGCGCCAACUACAGGAACUGAUCUUAAUCUAUCUAGACUCCCAUGCAUCUAGGUGUGAAGAAGGACCACACCUCAGAAGCAGGCGGCAUGCCACCUCAGACAACCAGAGCCAGACACCACUGAGAUGUUUCUACUUGACUAACAGCCGAGAGGAUGCUCUGCUGUCACCUGGCUUUCGAGACAGCACUGAUGAUUGGAAAGGAAUUAUGCUGUAUUUUAUUUCUGACUCUGAAAACGGCUGGCAGCUAUCUCAUGACAUUCAAUCUUUGUGCUUUAGUUUCGUUAUCUGUGGACUAGAGAUAAGCACAUUUGCUUGUAAAGGGCAGAAAAAGAAAGACACAGGUGUGAAUACAAGUGUGAAGAUAAAACAUUAAGCUACUAGCAUAGAUUUGAAAUUUUAAUAGUUGUAUCACUAUCUUUGUUUAUAUUAAAUACAGGUCCAAAAUCAACAAUAUGUUAGUUACAGGGAUGAGUUAACAUUCCUUAAUCCAUUGAGCUUAAAGUCUUCUGCAGGGUAAUAGCUCACUUUGCUGCCAAAGGGAGUGUCUGAAAACAUAAAUCUGACCAUGUCCUUUCUAUGCUACAAAUACCUUAAUAGCUCUCUUUAGUAUAACAAUCUAAGCUCCCACUCAGGAUAGGUAAGAUCCUUCUCAAACUGGAACCUGACUACAUUUAUCAUUUUAUUUUCUAUCACACUUCCAGGUACUCAUUCAGUCCUACUCACGCUGAACUCUUUGUAGAUCCUAACCCAGCAUAUCUAUUUCCUCACCUACAUUUCUGAAUCCCUAGGGCUCAGAGACUAUGUCGUCACCAUCUGAUUUUCUUCAGCUGCCCCAGUAAUGCCUGGGUACAGAAGACCUUGGGGCCUUGUGAGUUGGAUGAGCUCCUAACUUGCACAGUGCUUGGAGCUCAAAAAGUAGCACUACGUACCUCAUCUCAUUUCAUUCUCACAACAACACUGUGAGCUGGAGGGGCAGGAAUUAUCAUAUUCUCCAGGGAACUGAGGUUGCAGGAGAGUAACCCACUUACCUGAGGUCUCAAAGCUGGUGAGGGAUAUAAGCAAGAUUCUACCACCCUUUCACUAAUCAAUUUUUUAUUAAAUCCUAUUGUGUUAAUAACAUGUAUACACGAGAUACUAACUCUGUUAGGCAGUUAGAUGGAAAUGAGAACCAAGCAAGGGGAGAGGAAAGGGGAGGGAGUAAUCCAGAAAAUAACAGUAUGCCGGUGCUCAGGAUAAAGGGCUUCAAAGAGUUUUACUUCCUCUAAAUGAGGGACUGCAAAGAAGCCGGUUAAAAUGAGACGGGGUGGCUGUGCAGUAGAGAGAAGGACCAGACGUAACCCAAUGCUUAUUAGCAUGUAAGUAGCCCUGCGGUUUGGGCCCCCUCCCCUAGGUUUCUCUGUGUGCAUCCUGGGUAAGAGCAUGCACAAGGGAGACGAACACGCCUAAGCACUCAAGAGACGUGAGUUGUCAAUCAAUCAUGAGAACGCCCCCCAAGGCAGGAGGAACAAAAUAGCGGCGCCAUUUUCCCUCUUUUGGGUAGGCCUGCCUUCAAUUCUCGAAGUUGUACUCUUUUUUGAUAACUU